AUAUUAAAUGAAUAUGUCACUCAUAUAAUCUUGGGAAUAGGGCCCAAAAGUUUCUACCCGAUAACCGUAAAUUAUCGGACUAUGAGUGAAAAUUGUUCGGGG
rfam:Geosporobacter subterraneus DSM 17957 genome assembly, contig: EJ58DRAFT_scaffold00025.25